GACGAACGCUGGCGGCGCGCCUAACACAUGCAAGUCGAACGAGAAAGGAAGAGCUUGCUCUUCUAAUCGAGUGGCGAACGGGUGAGUAACGCGUGAGGAACCUGCCUCAAAGAGGGGGACAACAGUUGGAAACGACUGCUAAUACCGCAUAAGCCCACGACCCGGCAUCGAGCAGAGGGAAAAGGAGCAAUCCGCUUUGAGAUGGCCUCGCGUCCGAUUAGCUAGUUGGUGAGGUAACGGCCCACCAAGGCGACGAUCGGUAGCCGGACUGAGAGGUUGAACGGCCACAUUGGGACUGAGACACGGCCCAGACUCCUACGGGAGGCAGCAGUGGGGAAUAUUGCACAAUGGGGGAAACCCUGAUGCAGCGACGCCGCGUGGAGGAAGAAGGUCUUCGGAUUGUAAACUCCUGUUGUUGAGGAAGAUAAUGACGGUACUCAACAAGGAAGUGACGGCUAACUACGUG
rnacentral:rRNA from 1 species